AAGUCCCGCACCGAGCGCAUCCCUUAUCAUUUGUUGCCAGCGGUUCGGCCGGGAACUCAAAGGAGACUGCCAGUGAUAAACUGGAGGAAGGUGGGGAUGACGUCAAGUCAUCAUGGCCCUUACGAGUAGGGCUACACACUUGCUACAAUGGCGUAUACAAAGAGAAGCGACCUCGCGAGAGCAAGCGUACCUCAUAAAGUACGUCGUAGUCCGGAUUGGAGUCUGCAACUCGACUUCAUGAAGUCGGAAUCGCUAGUAAUCGUAGAUCAGAAUGCUAUGGUGAAUACGUUCCCGGGCCUUGUACACACCGCCUGUAAAAGGAAGAGAGUGGGUAC
rnacentral:rRNA from 1 species